rnacentral:misc_RNA from 1 species
CAGAGAACAUGCCCUUCAGGGUAUAUCCUCCAACCCUUUGUUUAUAUUCCCUUUGUUGCUUUGGCGGGCCUGUCUCUGGACUGCUGGCUUCAGCUGGCCCGUGCCCGCCAGAGGACCCCAACACUCUUGUAUUUAUGCUGUCUGAGUACUAUGUAAUAGUUA